ACGGGGUGCAGCAGGCGCGAAACCUUCGCAAUGCGCGCAAGCGCGACGAGGUUAUUCCGAGUGAUUUCCGCUGAGGAAAUCUUUUCUCAGAUCUAAAAUGUCUGAGGAAUAAGGGGAGGGCAAGUCUGGUGUCAGCCGCCGCGGUAAUACCAGCUCCUCGAGUGGUCAGGGCGUUUAUUGGGCCUAAAGCAUCCGUAGCCGGCUCAGUAGGUCUCCUGUUAAAUCCAACGGCUCAACUGUUGGUCUGCAGGAGAUACCACUGGGCUAGGAGGCGGGAGAGGCGGACGGUACUCCGAGGGUAGGGGUAAAAUCCUUUGAUCCCCGGAAGACCACCAGUGGCGAAGGCGGUCCGCCAGAACGCGCUCGACGGUGAGGGAUGAAAGCUGGGGGAGCGAACCGGAUUAGAUACCCGGGUAGUCCCAGCUGUAAACGAUGCGAGCUAGGUGACACAAGGCCUUCGGGGCCUUGUGGUGCCGCAGGGAAGCCGUUAAGCUCGCCGCCUGGGGAGUACGGACGCAAGUCUGAAACUUAAAGGAAUUGGCGGGGGAGCAC
rnacentral:rRNA from 1 species